rnacentral:rRNA from 1 species
UACGUAGGGUGCAAGCGUUGUCCGGAAUUAUUGGGCGUAAAGAGCUCGUAGGCGGUUUGUUGCGUCGGCUGUGAAAUCCCGAGGCUCAACCUCGGGUCUGCAGUCGAUACGAGCAAACUAGAGUGUUGCAGGGGAGACUGGAAUUCCUGGUGUAGCGGUGAAAUGCGCAGAUAUCAGGAAGAACACCGGUGGCGAAGGCGGGUCUCUGGGCCGAAAAUUGACGCUGGAGGAGCGAAAGCGUGGGGAGCGAACAGG